UACGGAGGGUGCAAGCGUUAAUCGGAAUUACUGGGCGUAAAGCGCACGCAGGCGGUUUGUUAAGUCAGAUGUGAAAUCCCCGAGCUUAACUUGGGAGCUGCAUUUGAAACUGGCAAGCUAGAGUCUUGUAGAGGGGGGUAGAAUUCCAGGUGUAGCGGUGAAAUGCGUAGAGAUCUGGAGGAAUACCGGUGGCGAAGGCGGCCCCCUGGACAAAGACUGACGCUCAGGUGCGAAAGCGUGGGGAGCAAACAGG
rnacentral:rRNA from 1 species